rnacentral:lncRNA from 1 species
UCUGCUUCAUUUUCUUACGGACCAGUUCUCCAACAUCGACAAAGCUGAUUGGAUCCUCUGCAACACAUUAUAUGACAUGGAUAAAGAGGUAUGAAUGUUAAGGUUCUAUUAUUUUCACGUCGGAAAAGAUGCUUUUAUAAGAAUAAAAUCAUCGUAACAAAAGUUAAUUAUUGUAUUUAAAAAUAAAAAAGAAAAAAGAAAAAGACAGGCCAGUAUUAAAUGCUUGCAAUAAAAACGAAAAAAAGUAACAGUAUUAUCAAACACUUUUAUAUUCAUCUCACAUAUAAUAUAAUAAUAAAAUAGUAAUAAAAGUGUGAAGUUUUGUAUUUUUUCAAAAAAGAAAAAAAAAUAAAAGUAAAAAAAGAAUAAUUUCAAAUGAAUGUAAAAAAUUUAAAUGUAUCAAAAAAUAUUUUUUAAACAAAAUAAUAAUCUGAAACAGAUUUUAAAAUAUUAUUUUGCAUCACACACGUAUUUUUUUUAAUUGAUUCAUUAUUUAAUUUUUAAUUAAUUAACAUAUUUUAAAUUCAAUGAAAUGAUAACUAAGAGUUAUUUUUUUAAUUGAUUCAUUAUUUAAUUGUUACUAUAUUAACAUAUUUUAAAUUCAAUGAAAAGAUAACAAGUAUAUUAUAUUAAAAUAAUGUAAAAAAAAAGUUGUAUUAAGAUAUAAUUGUACUAAUAAAAAUUUCUUGUGUUAAAGUAUAGUUUUCAUUUUCACAUUCAUUGUUUUAUCCUUAAUCUCUCUCUUGUUUUACACAUACAAAAUUUAAUCUUUUUAAGCAUCAAGAUAUCUGUAAAACUAGAUGCAGCACUUGAUCAGAGACAUUUUGGUCACUAAAAAUGUUAACUUUUGUAUUAAUAAAGAAAGAGAAAAAUUAAAAAAUAAAAUAAUGAAAAUUAAAUAUAUGCAAAAGUUUUGUUGGAUGUUAAAAUAAUAAUAUCUAAAAUAUGAGAUUGUUAAAAGCAAGAUAAAAUUAUAUGUAUGAAAGGGAACAAAAAUCUCUCCUUGUUAGACCAAUUUUAUAAGUUUAAUAUACCUUGGUUUUUAAUUGGUUCCCGAGGUUAUUUCCAUUUUAACUUUUAUUGCGCCCAACUCUCCUUCCUCCACACGGCCUACCUCAACCGCAAACAACUUUUCAGCCGUUCCCUUUCGCCGCCUUCGCCGCCUUCGCCGCCCUGAACUCCCUCGAAACCCUCAGCCUAGCCUCGAACUCUUCCCUCUCACCCUGGAUUUUCCCCACCGAUCUCACCUCCUCCACUAACCUAUCGACCUCUCCAUAAACACCGACCCAAAUCCCGACGAGGAGACCCUCAACGCUGUUAACAACAACGACCACACCGCCAAGCGCAAGCUCGAGGACGACUUCGAUGUGCUUACGGCGUCAAAGGCCGCGGAUCUCGCCAAACCGUUAAGGGAAGUGCAGAUUCCGUACAAGAUCCACAUCGUGAAGGACCACGAUAUAAAGUAGAGACUGUGUUUGGAGGUGGAGAGGCUCGGGCUGAGAAUG